AAUCAAUCAAAUUAUAUUGGAAAAGGAGGAGGAAAGCAAAGAGAUUCUGGAGAGUGCUGUCACCAAAGAGAAGGACAAGUUCAAGCAAUCUGUGGAUGAAGAAAAGAAAAAGAUCCAAGACUUGGAAAAUCACCUGAGAAGUAUGACUGAGAUCAUGUUAAAGCAGCAGUUACUCAUGCAAGACGAACAGCUAAAGAUCACUCAGGAUGAGAACGAGUYACUGAAGCAGAAAAUUCAG
rnacentral:lncRNA from 1 species